rnacentral:misc_RNA from 1 species
UAUUUUGGCGACAUUUUGUAUCGGCAAACCUUGCGCGGAAUAAGAGAAAAGCGAGCUUCAAAUCGUUAAAAUGCAUCGUAUGUUUGAGUGUCUCAUGUUUAUCGUUACUUAGACAAUUUUUCUCGCACCACGUGGAAAAUCUAUUUCUUAUGUUGAAUACAAGCUUUUUUAAGAACACAUUUUGAAAGUUAUGAAUAAAAACACAGAAUGACCAGCAACGCAAUUCGAAGUAUUCGGCGAAAGAAGUCCUCCUUAUCCGAAGUCAAAAUUGUAGUUUUGGGAGCGCCGGGAGUUGGAAAAAGUGCUUUUUACGGGUUUCCAUCAAAUUUCUGAUACGGAUAUCACACAAGAGAAAAAUAUGAGCUACCAAAAGCGAACUCGAUCCUCAACUCUAAAGGCAGUUGCCGAUAGGGUUGCUUAAUUGCCCGAACAGUUGCUCGUAGCCGUUUUUUGUUCUUGCGAAGACUUUAGAUAUUCUCGUCUAUUUCCUGAUAAUCCUUUAAUAUUGAUGUCAACUAUGGAGAAUGGAAAUGCAGAAUCAUUUGGUCAGAUGGAUGCUAUGAAAAUCUUAUAAGCAUUAGAAGAUUCCUCAGAAUGGAAUGUUUGUCACUGUCUUUCAGAGUAAAACAAAAUACUGUCAUGAAGAUCCCUGUAGCAGAAUCUUUAGGAGAAAUUUAAAUGUUCGUGUAGUUCACGGCAGAUGCUUUGAAUGAUGAAUUGCUACACAUUUCCUACAUUGGCGCGUUAGACGGAAAGUAUAUUAAUAUUGCACCACUUCCGAGUACUGGAAUUAUAAAAAAACAUUUUAGCCUUGUUAUGCUGGCAUUGGUGGAUGAAAAUCUAAAUUUUAUAUUGACGUGGGAACCAAUGACAGGAUAAGUGAUGGUGGCGUGUGGAACAAAAGCACACUAAAGAAAUUCUUUGAAAAUUCCUGAAACGGAAUUACACUCAGAAACGAACGUUUUUGUGGUAGAUGAUACUUUUCCUUUCAACAUAAACAUUAUGAAACCCUAUCCAGGAAGUGUUGAGCGCAGGCUUUUUAAUUACCGCUGAUCAAGAGCUCGGAUUGAAAAUGCAUUUGGCCUUUUAGCUUCUCGUUUUCCAAGCAAAGAUACAGACGCAUCAUAUAAAAGUUGUAUUGGCAACCUGUGCUCUCCAUAAUAUUUUGAGGUAAUGGUUCAUAGAUUUGUAUACUUCUCCCAACAAGUUUAGACAUAGAAGAUUUGUAAAAUCUGAAAUAUUAUGCGAAAAAAACAAUAUAUUUCAUAACUUCCAUAGAAGCCCAGCUAAUGGUACUAUAGUAGCUAAAAACAUUCGAAAUCGUUUUAUGGAAUAAUUUAAUGGGCCUGGAGCAGUUUCAUGGCAAGGAACGAUUUGCAUUAAGUUAAUAUUUAAGUUCAGUUUUAUUAACAGAGAAUUUUGGCAGAGUAGAUUGUAAAAUAUUUAACUUUAAAUAUUUUAAUAAAUUUUUUUAAAAUCAAGAAUACAAACUUGAGCAUCUGUAUCUUAAUUGCAAGGUUUAAGAAAAUUUUUAAAUAUUUAUCUCAUUGUUUCCAUUUUUUAGUUCAUUAUUUGAAAGAGUUCUUAACAGUACCAAAUUUUUAACUGUGUAUUUUUCUAAAUCCAUAUGAAAAUAUUUUUAUUAAAUAUUUCAUUUAUUUUUUGGUUUGCACCUGUAUUUUUGAAACUAUAGUGAUAGUUAUUCUUCCAUAACAAAUAAAACAAUGUAAAUUUAUUAAUGAAAAGUACAAAAGUAUUCACAUUAAAAAAUAUCACACAAUUGAAAAAGAGCAAUGAUUAACUGCUAAGACCUAUAAUCAUGCUAUGUAUGUUAUGUAUAGUAUGAUUACACUACUUACAACUUAAAAUUUAUCUAUAUUUCAUGUUAAUAUGAAUCGAUGAAUUAAAUUUGGUGUAUAUUCUAUUUGUACUUAAUGCUUAUUUAAUUUGUAUUUAAUUUGAGGUCUAUUUUAUUCAUGCUUAAUUUUAUGCGUAUUUUAUUUGUACUUAAU